UACGGGGGGAGCAAGCGUUGUUCGGAUUUACUGGGCGUAAAGGGCGCGUAGGCGGCCACCGCAAGUCGACUGUGAAAUCUCCGGGCUUAACCCGGAAAGGUCAGCCGAUACUGCGGGGCUAGAGUACAGAAGGGGCAACUGGAAUUCUCGGUGUAGCGGUGAAAUGCGUAGAUAUCGAGAGGAACACCUGCGGCGAAGGCGGGUUGCUGGGCUGAUACUGACGCUGAGGCGCGAAAGCCAGGGGAGCGAACGGG
rnacentral:rRNA from 1 species